rnacentral:rRNA from 1 species
AUUGAACGCUGGCGGCAGGCUUAACACAUGCGAGUCGAGCGGGGUGAUGGUGCUUGCACUAUCACUUAGCGGCGGACGGGUGAGUAAUGCUUAGGAAUCUGCCUAUUAGUGGGGGGCAACAUCUCGAAAGGGAUGCUAAUACCGCAUACGUCCUACGGGAGAAAGCAGGGGAUCACUUGUGACCUUGCGCUAAUAGAUGAGCCUAAGUCGGAUUAGCUAGUUGGUGGGGUAAAGGCCUACCAAGGCGACGAUCUGUAGCGGGUCUGAGAGGAUGAUCCGCCACACUGGGACUGAGACACGGCCCAGACUCCUACGGUAGGCAGCAGUGGGGAAUAUUGGACAAUGGGGGGAACCCUGAUCCAGCCAUGCCGCGUGUGUGAAGAAGGCCUUAUGGUUGUAAAGCACUUUAAGCGAGGAGGAGGCUCUUUUGGUUAAUACCCAAGAUGAGUGGACGUUACUCGCAGAAUAAGCACCGGCUAACUCUGUGCCAGCCGCCGCAGUAA